GGACUUGGCGGUCUCGUUCGAACGGCAGCGUGCGUGGUCUGGGGCUUUGGCCGCUGCCGCCGCCACCACCUCUUCACCCCGCCCCACCACAGCACACCACACUGCGCCUCUGGCGACUCCGGCCGCUCUGGGAGCCCGGGACGGCCCACUGGGCUGGCGGGGCCGUGCGCGUUUGCAGAGGGUCGGUGACGGCCGCUGAGCCCGGCCUCUGAGCCCCGCCGCAGAGGGGAGGGCGAGCGCGCUGUGCCCUUCAUGCAGCCCAGGUGUGACUGAGAAGACUUACAGCAGCUGUCUCAUAAUUGGAAGUCAUAGGGACAAUGGCUGCUUUGUUUUUGCUGAAUUCAGAACUGAAUAGAUAUUAGGGUGAAGUAGAGCUGGGGAAAAUGGAAGAAACUCUGCCUUAUUAGAAGCAUAAAAACUAGUGACUGUAUCUUGGCCAGUGCUGCCGAUUUUCCAGUAAGCUGUCUGCUGUACGGAGGUGUAUAACCCUAAUGGCUUGUUGUAUGCCAUUAAAAGACAAAAAAGUGGAUGUUCUGGAUGGAUUUGGUAUGCCUCCUUUCCUGCUGUGGGACUGUCAGCAGCUGAGUGGGCUCCAAGAGUGCUUGCUAAGUGGGUUUUGUAACAGUGCCCUUCCCUGGCUCGGCGCCUGGUGCCAACAGAACACCUUGCAGGAUCCUCAGCAGCGCAGACAACGUAAGUAGCCAGCUGUCCCUUGACGCCCUCUUCCAAAAGCCCCAAGCCCUCCGGACCCUGCAGGGCGCCUGUGCGGCUCUUUCCCUCGCUCACCCCUCCGGAGUGCCACCUGGGUUUCACAAGUAGCACCUUCCAAAUCUCUCUGUCUUCAAGUUUGUGCAUGUCUGUGUGGCAUCCCUCCUCCUCCUUCACUCCCAUAGUGGAUCUUGUAAAGGGCUUCAGAUCGGCCCCAUUCAUCUCCCUGGUGAUAGCAGUGAAUGUAGAUAAAUCUCUGACUGCCUGCUUGCUGCUGGAGUAUGAUUUUUAUUUUGUCUUCGGUGUAUACCUAGGUCAAAAAGUGGGAUGUAUACUGACGUUGGGUGAGUGUGUGUCUGUGUCUCUGUCUUUCUCACUCCGUCUUUCUCUCUCACCCAAGCACACAAACAUACAUCUCCCUGCAUGUGCAUCUAUGUGCAAUACAUGCGUGCACACAAAUAUAUACCCCCACACAGACGUAUGUGUUUACACACAGAAGUAUACACACAUCUCCAUCAUACACACCCCCACACUCACACAUCUAAUCUGCAUUUAUCUGAGGCAUUGUGUGCAUAUGUGUAUGUGUGUCCAUACACACACUGUUCUGUGUGCGUAUGUGCAUACACAGGCAUCUCUCGCUACACCGAUAAACAUUCCCUCUCCUCCCAGCAGAGGCUGUAUGCAGCUGCGAUCCUGCCCUAUAAGAGCGGUAUUCCUUCCUUCCUUCCUUCGGUGUGCUAUUUGGAGACCUUCGUGCUCCCUUCUUGGAGUCUCCCGAGCUGCAGAAUUGGCACCUUUCCCUGAGGUUGUCCGAAUGGCAAAUGGCAUCGUCUGUAGCUCGCAUUCUUGCAGCUUCUUGUGGCAUUUCUCUCUCGAUGUCGGCUGCUCCCUUUUGUUUGUUGUUGACUGGACUGGGUGUGGAUGGGGUUUUUUUGAAGUUAAUUGUAAACGAACCUGAAUGGCAAACACGCCAACAGCUUGCGAAAAAAAAAAGGGGGAAAAAAAAAAAGCAAGCCCCACACAAACGCCUUCUGCUGCGACAGAUGCCCAUGUUGCCCCUGGCAUGGAGAACGGGCACAAGGGGUUUGUUGUUGAGGUUUUUUCUGUUGCUGUUUUUAUUGUUCGCAUUUCCCUUUUCCCUUUAUUUUUAAAGACUCCAAGAUGCCGGCCUCGGCUUGGAACGGAGCGGUGUCAUGGCGGAGACGACGGCCUUUGUCUCACAGGGUGUGAAAGCAUCCGUUGUGCUGGCUCCACUGCGGCAGAAUGACGUUUAAAGGGGGGAAAAAGUGCUGAAAGUCCAAGUUGUGCAGCGCUGGCGGGGGAGCCCCCGGCCCCACAGCGGCAUGCGUCCAAGGAAGGGCUUGCAGCAGAGGAGCCUGGUCUGUAAUCCUGGCACUCGCGCCUCCGGUCGCUGCCUGCCGUUUGCUCCUGGGGGUCUGGAUAAUCUCCCUUGGCUUUACUGCACUGUCUGGCCCGCGCACAGGGCCCCCGUAACAUAUACCCGCUGCCGCGAUCGCAGGGAGCUGUGGCGUUGCCACUGAAUGGAUGGCACUGUGCCAACUCCGCUGCCAUCCGCCCUUGCAGCUCUUUCCUCCCUCCUCCCUCCCGCUUUCCCCUCCUCCUCCUCCUCCCGUCGACUUGAUGUUAAUUAACACACGGGUUAAUUGAUUUUAAAAGCUGAAGAAUUACAGUUAACUUUUCCCACAGGGUAUGGACGCCAGCCGCUUGGCACGGUUCUGCCGCUCGUGCUGGUGCAGGGGGGCAGGGAAGAGCCCGCAGCAAAACCAGCAACUGCGGAGGAUGGACGGACGGUCAUCCGCCUGUUGGAGUGCGGCUAAGGGCGGCUGACACGCUCCCACCUCGUCCUGCCGACAUGUCACCGCUAUAUUUUGCUAUAAACAAUCAAAGCAACCCCUCCCCUCGCCUCUCCCACCCAUCCGCCUUUCAGAAAGGCGAGCUCUGUCGAAGUUUAAGCAGGGAAGCCGUCCCCCCCAAAGGCUUAUCAUAGCACAGAAAUGACCAGCCUCUGCAGGGUCUUGCACUGCAGGGCUCCCCAGCCUGGGCACCCUGCAACUGCUGAGGUGGGGCAUCGGAAGACCGCUGUCUGUUAGAGGCUUGCCCUGUCUUCCAGGGCUCUUUUUCAUUUCCUUAAUUGGCUCAGAUACGUCGCUUGGGGUGAAGCAUCUCAACCAGGGGAAAGUUAGUUCAUUGUAAUUACGAGAGAAAUAAACCAUGUGAGGGCUUUAUUUUUUUGCUUUUGCUCUCCCUCGUCCCAGUCUCUGCCGCAAGCAAGGGUGAGUGACGGUGUGGCUGGGAGGAGACGCAGCAGUGCUGGGAACUUGCUGCUUUCACCUUCUCGUGCUUUCAUUUUAUUUCAUUUUGUUUUUUAAAAGCAUGAAGCAAGUGAAGCGACGAGAGGAAUCCAUUAUGCAAAUCGGGUCACAUUUGCAUAAUGUCUCAUGACUGGACUAUGCAAAUUAGUUGUAUAAUUUAUGAGUGCCAGUGUCUGUCUAAAAGUGUUUCCCAGAAUUUAUAAAAAGUGAGACGUGGGGAGGGCAGCUGGGCUGGCUGCCCUGCCAGGAGGGCUCUGCGCUUUCUUUUCAAAGUCUUCCCUGAGAUCAGCAGCUCAAAUGCUCAUUAAUGAGAAGCAAGCCCCCCUUUCCACUCUGUCCCCCUCGUUCCAUUUUCUGUUUCUCCCUCUGCCAAGCCCCACCUGCUCCCUUCCAACUUCUCCAGGAGGCAUUUGGCUGGGGCAGGGGAGCGGGGGCUGUGAUGGCUGGGCAGUCCCACGCAGGCGGCUCAGCCUGGGUCUCACUCCAGAUGCCUCUGUGACUCCUGCCAGCAGGAGAGACCCUGCAGUUAAGGCAGGUGAGCUCCGUGGGCACAGUGUGCAUCAGGGAGCUGUGCUGAGAUGCUUGCCUCCGACAGGCAUGGUGGGAUUACUGCUCAUUUCCAAUGCGCCACAUCUAACUUGUGCUCUGAGCCAGAGACCCGUCCCUGACCUUCCGGAGAGCUGCAAGGUCAGCGCAGGGGUGGCAGUGCCAGUGGAGGGAGACCUUUAGUUUCCUGCCCAGAGCCGGCAGUGUUCAGCUUCAGCACUGAAAAGGUGUCUGGAAUAUCUGGAAUUGCAGGACAGGUAUCAAGACUCUUUUUCUUUUUUUCUUUUUUUUUUUUUUGGUUUUUCCCCCCUCUUCUCUGCGUGUUUGGAGAUCUUGGGAGCAUCGGGAGAAUGCAGGUAGGCUAUUUCACAUGGGGAUGCCGGUGAUCUGAGCUGUCUGUACAGGGAGAGGGUAAAUAAUAACAGGCAUGGGCACGUGGAAAGCUGUGGCGUGGCUCUGGUGCAUGCCACAGCCUGCCCACUCCUGGCAGUGUCUAGCAAGGAGCAGCAGGGUGGGUGAGCCCAGGGGCCAGGGCAGCACAGCGUCAGUCGUCCUCAGCUCUGGGAGGUUCCUGAAAGGGCUUUUGGGCAAAAAAGUAAUUUGCUUUUCUUGAGAAUCUGCAUUUCAGUUGUAAAAACUGUAUGUGUUUAUCCCUCAGGUUUCAAAAGUUUUGGGGUGUUAGUUACCACCUAAACUGACGAAUCUCUCACUUUCAAUCAGUUUCAAAAUAACGUGAGUCUUUGUAUGGUUUAUUUAGUAGAUGCAGGUCUUGCCUCUUGGCAGUGUGUGUCAUGCUGAACAUCUCCAGUACAAAGUAGUGAAUUCAUAAACUGCUUUUACGUCCUACAUUACGUGUAGGAUUCGUGGUGGGAAUAUAAAAGGACCUUCUGUGUUAGGUAUAAGGAAGGCAAAACUGGCAUGUCUUCUGUCUUGACAAGCAGGUAGCAAGUCAGACUUGACAAGAGGCAGCAGCACAUCCAGGCUCCAAAGCAUCUUUUGCUUAUGACUGCUCAACAGUGGUGCCUCCCAGCUGCACCGAGGGGUGACUGUCCCCGUGCUGGUCCUCACCACUACCGUUAGCACAGAAGCAGCUGAGUCUGACCUGGAGCCUGUGCAGGAUUGGGGCCACUGGGAGUAACUGGUGUGCAGCAAAGGCAGGGCAUUUUUUGAGGAGGGGUGGGCGGUGGAGCUGUGGCAGCAGAGAGGACCAAGGGCUACGGAAGGGAGCAGUAUGGUAGCCCCAAGGAGCAGCCCACAGCCUGGGGACCGGUGGCCCUGCAACAUCAGGAGUCAGGGCAGUUUUUAACGUUGAGGCAAACCACCCUGCUCUGCUCAUCACAAAAGCUCCUGCAAGAUGGAAAGGCGAGGAGAAUGUCUGUUUUCUUGUUAGGGUGUUUGGUGUGGUGCAUCAGCGGACCCUGCACCAGGACUGGAGAUGGUUCUCUGGAUGGUACCUGUGAUGGGCACUCUUUCAGGGCUGGCCCGUGCUGGGGCCUGGGGCUAUGGGGUGGGAGAAGGGCCUCUGGCUAUGGAGCAGCUCGCAGGUGUCGGAGGGGAUUCAGUCUCUAUAGAUGUGCCGCUUUUUAAUAGUUUUUAUAAAACCACCAAAACUUGUGAACAUUCUCUUGUGGUUUUGGUGCUGCACUGAGGACUGGUGAAUGUCCUGAGCUUUUUAUUUAGGGAUGAGAAAGCUUCUUUGGGGUGGGAGAAUGAAAGCUCAUCUAGCACAUGCACUGAAACUUCCAUAUGUACCAGAGGAGAUUUUUCUGGUCUUUGCAGGUCAAGUAACAAGACACAGUAGCAUGGAGAAUCCCUCACACAGCAUUACUCAUUUAUUGUCUGUUUUCUGUUGUCUGUCUCAUUUCCAUGGAAGUGGUUGUUUUUGCCAGUGGAACAGAGUCCACCUGACAGACCCUCAUUGCUUUCUUCCAGUGUCCUCCUGUGCCUGGCCUCUGUGGUUCCUCACCUGUGGCACUGGAAGAAUUCCCUGCAGCUCCAUCCUUGAGAGUUCCUGGGGCCUUUGUCUGCAGUUCUUGUUUUCUGUACCUCGAUGGAGCUGGAUGCUCAAGAGCAGAGGAUCUAUCAACUGCAGACCAAGCAGAGGGAGAGGCAGGCAGAACUGGAGCAGAAAUGCAGCCGAAUCCAGCAGCUCAGCCAAGACCCGGAGGCCAGCCACCAGCUGCAGGAGGAAGCUCAGAAGCAGUACAUGGGACACUGAUACAGAGACCACACAAUCCAGGAACCCACAUGGAGAGACUGUUUUGGGUGGGCUGAGGGAAAGCAUGUACAUGAAUGUGUGGGCUUACAUUUGGUGGGAAGGCAGAAGUUCCUUGUGUUAAAAGAUGCAGAAGUACUGCACUGGCAAAAUAAAAAGAAUUUACAAGCCAAAA